CCAUGUUAGGAAACUACUCUGAACAGGUUUUUUAGAUCAGAAGUAGCAACAAUUCUACUCUUUUGGAUUACAAUUCCAUGUGUUUUCAUUUAGGUCAGUCCUUCCUUAGGCUGUCACCAUAUUCUUUUGGCCUGAGUUAUGUUUUCCGGCAUGGAUAUCGCAGUCACAAAACAGCAUCAAGGAAGCAUCAUGCCAGAAUAUAUCCAGUUCAUACAAUGGCAAGCAAAAAGGGGUAGGCACAUCAUAUACUAGAAAAGCGUUAAGUACAUUCAACUUGAACUAGCCACUCUGUUGGUCUGUAAGCCACCCAUUGCAUAGAAAAAGACACUCCACACAAAAAUUAGUUUUGAAUUUUCUAAAGUAAACAUGACUAACUUUUCUUGAAACAAGAACAAAUACUUGUAUUUUCCUCAUAAUGAGCAUAAAAAAGUGAUUUAACCAUUUGACUAUGACUUAAUUAAUUUCUUUACGUGAUUGAACCAUUUAAUUAAUUUGGUCCAUGCAAACAGAUAUUAUGCCGGUGAGCUUACAAAAGGUAGACGCUUUCAGUAAAUAUUUGCUUCAUCUUUGAUGAUAACCCUCAAUCUCAUAUAAAGGAAAAGAGCGCCUCGUCUCAACACUCAAUUGGUUGAAGUCAUAUAAAAGAAAAGAGUUCCAAAUCACAUAUCUCAACACUCAAUUGGUUGGAGUCAAUUGGUUGGAAUAGCUUGAUGAUUAGAGGGACUACCAACUGUGGUUGAAGGAGCAGCAUUAACUUCAUGUCUUCAUCUUGAAUUUCUUAUAUUUCCCACUUCCAUCAUCUGCCACCACCACAAUCAGGAGUCACCGAGGACGACUGCAACAACCUCCGGUCACCUGCCUACAACCACUCCGGCCACCCACUUUCUUGAUCUUUUCCCUGCUCCUUAAGCUUCCUAUUUGAAGUAGCAGCUAAUUUAAGCUCAUCAGCAAUAUCAGUAUACUUUUGCCUCUUGUGUUGGACAGAACUGGAAACUACAGAUCACGUUCUUCUGAAAUGCCGUUUAGUUAGAGAGGUCUGGAUGUGAGUGAUUAAUUGGUGGGAAAUUCAAGGUGUUUUGCCUGAUAGCAUUGUGGAACUAAACUGGCAAACAAUUUGGCUAAGAAGAAAUAAGCUGUUAUUCUCUAAUGAAGAGCAAUAGAAUGAGGCUGUUAUGGACAUGAUCAAAUUGAGAAGUUUCAAGCUGCUUAAGGCAAAUUUUCCAAUGGCGCCUUAUUGCCUCAGUGACUGGAUGUGUUUCCCCAUUCUUGUGUGCAACAGUGUUGUUGGAAUAAAACAAAGAAAAAUGCACCAAGUUGAAUCUCAGCCGCGGGUGUUUCCGGAACAUGGGACCUUGAAAUUCAAUGGCGGUGGAUCCUCAAGAGGCAAGCCAAGAGAUGCAUGUAUUGUUGGCGUGCUUAGAAAUGCUUUAGGUAAUGUCCUGUGUUUGUUUUUUAAAUCUGUAGGAGUUAUGGCAUGGUUAUAAAUAUUAUAUCUGAUAUACUUGUGUUUUUUUUUUCUUGUUUGUCAGUAGUUUCUUUUCUCCUCUCACCAAAAGGGAUCGCCGUUAUUUACUCCUGUAUUUUGGAUUAUCUAUCGAGUGUGAAUUCAGGUUUUUAUUUAAUUUUCCAUAAUAAGAUAGAGUGUAUUGAAAAAAGCUUAAUGGCUUAAGUACAGUAACCUGGUUAGUUGA